UCGAUGGAACGCAAGCGCAGAGUUACGU
rnacentral:sRNA from 1 species